CCAGUACCACGAUGCUCGUGGCCCGUGGGUUGGGAACCGCCGUAAUAGACGGAAAGCCCUGUAGAAGUAGAAAACAUCUGGUUUUGAUUUAAAUCAUAACAAAUUGUUUUUAUUUUUAAUAGUACAAAGAAUGUCAUAAUGAUAAAUUAUAUUAUACACAUAUUGUGUUUUGUGUUGUCUGAUUUCUGACAAUUUUUCAUUUAUGACAAUGUCAUGUUAAAAAACAUGUAUUUUAUAUAAAUAUGUCUUC